rnacentral:rRNA from 1 species
UGGCUCAGGAUGAACGCUGGCGGCGUGCUUAACACAUGCAAGUCGAACGGUGAAGCCCAGCUUGCUGGGUGGAUCAGUGGCGAACGGGUGAGUAACACGUGAGCAAUCUGCCCCUGACUCUGGGAUAAGCGCUGGAAACGGCGUCUAAUACUGGAUACGAACCGUGGAGGCAUCUUCAACGGUUGGAAAGAUUUUUUGGUCAGGGAUGAGCUCGCGGCCUAUCAGCUUGUUGGUGAGGUAAUGGCUCACCAAGGCGUCGACGGGUAGCCGGCCUGAGAGGGUGACCGGCCACACUGGGACUGAGACACGGCCCAGACUCCUACGGGAGGCAGCAGUGGGGAAUAUUGCACAAUGGGCGAAAGCCUGAUGCAGCAACGCCGCGUGAGGGAUGACGGCCUUCGGGUUGUAAACCUCUUUUAGCAGGGAAGAAGCGAAAGUGACGGUACCUGCAGAAAAAGCGCCGGCUAACUACGUGCCAGCAGCCGCGGUAAUACGUAGGGCGCAAGCGUUAUCCGGAAUUAUUGGGCGUAAAGAGCUCGUAGGCGGUUUGUCGCGUCUGCUGUGAAAUCCCGAGGCUCAACUUCGGGUCUGCAGUGGGUACGGGCAGACUAGAGUGCGGUAGGGGAGAUUGGAAUUCCUGGUGUAGCGGUGGAAUGCGCAGAUAUCAGGAGGAACACCGAUGGCGAAGGCAGAUCUCUGGGCCGUAACUGACGCUGAGGAGCGAAAGGGUGGGGAGCAAACAGGCUUAGAUACCCUGGUAGUCCACCCCGUAAACGUUGGGAACUAGUUGUGGGGUCCAUUCCACGGAUUCCGUGACGCAGCUAACGCAUUAAGUUCCCCGCCUGGGGAGUACGGCCGCAAGGCUAAAACUCAAAGGAAUUGACGGGGACCCGCACAAGCGGCGGAGCAUGCGGAUUAAUUCGAUGCAACGCGAAGAACCUUACCAAGGCUUGACAUAUACGAGAACGCUGCAGAAAUGUAGAACUCUUUGGACACUCGUAAACAGGUGGUGCAUGGUUGUCGUCAGCUCGUGUCGUGAGAUGUUGGGUUAAGUCCCGCAACGAGCGCAACCCUCGUUCUAUGUUGCCAGCACGUAAUGGUGGGAACUCAUGGGAUACUGCCGGGGUCAACUCGGAGGAAGGUGGGGAUGACGUCAAAUCAUCAUGCCCCUUAUGUCUUGGGCUUCACGCAUGCUACAAUGGCCGGUACAAAGGGCUGCAAUACCGUGAGGUGGAGCGAAUCCCAAAAAGCCGGUCCCAGUUCGGAUUGAGGUCUGCAACUCGACCUCAUGAAGUCGGAGUCGCUAGUAAUCGCAGAUCAGCAACGCUGCGGUGAAUACGUUCCCGGGUCUUGUACACACCGCCCGUCAAGUCAUGAAAGUCGGUAACACCUGAAGCCGGUGGCCCAACCCUUGUGGAGGGAGCCGUCGAAGGUGGGAUCGGUAAUUAGGACUAAGUCGUAACA